rnacentral:tRNA from 2 species
GCCCCCAUCGUCUAGAGGUUAGGACAGUUCUCUUUCAAGGAGCGGGCGGGGAUUCAAAUUCCCCUGGGGGUA